AGUAAUGGCGUCCAGCAGAAGAGGAGCCUACGCAGAAAGAGGAGGGCCAUCAAGAAAAGGAGUGGAAAAGACAGAAGAAGCACACUGCUACAGAAAAACUGUAUUGUCGCACGGUGAGGACCUUCUCUGGAUGUCCGAUUGGAGUCAAGUGAGAGCUGGGAAGGAGCGGCAUUCGGUAAUACAGCCAGCGGGACAGUGAGGGCGAGGAGACGCGAGUGCGUCCCUAGUUACCACACACGCCUGCAGGGGUUGCCCUGACGACGGGUGGACGCAGCGUACAGGCGCCCCGCUGAUCACAGCAACGUCUGGACAACGGGAUGACGUCAUCGCCGAGCGCCCCCGCACGUCUGGGCGCCGAACACCCGCCCGGAGCUCAGGUGAAUGGUGAUUACACAGGUACU